rnacentral:rRNA from 1 species
AAAGGAAUUGACGGGGGCCCGCACAAGCGGCGGAGCAUGCGGAUUAAUUCGAUGCAACGCGAAGAACCUUACCUGGGUUUGACAUAUGCCGGAAACAUCUAGAGAUAGGUGCCCCGCAAGGUCGGUAUACAGGUGGUGCAUGGCUGUCGUCAGCUCGUGUCGUGAGAUGUUGGGUUAAGUCCCGCAACGAGCGCAACCCUCGUUCUAUGUUGCCAGCGGUUCGGCCGGGAACUCAUAGAAGACUGCCGGGGUCAACUCGGAGGAAGGUGGGGAUGACGUCAAGUCAUCAUGCCCCUUAUGUCCAGGGCUUCACGCAUGCUACAAUGGCUGGUACAAAGGGCUGCGAUAUCGCAAGAUGGAGCGAAUCCCAUAAAGCCAGUCUCAGUUCGGAUUGGGGUCUGCAACUCGACCCCAUGAAGUCGGAGUCGCUAGUAAUCGCAGAUCAGCAACGCUGCGGUGAAUACGUUCCCGGGCCUUGUACACACCGCCCGU